GACGAACGCUGGCGGCGUGCUUAACACAUGCAAGUCGAACGGAAAGGCCUGCUUUCCCUUGUGGAUUGCGGGUACUCGAGUGGCGAACGGGUGAGUAACACGUGAGUGAUCUGCCCCCAACUUGGGUAUAAGCCUGGGAAACUGGGUCUAAUUCCCGAUAGGACUGCAGGGUGGUGCCUGUGGUGGAAAACGAUUUUCUAGUGGUUGGGGAUGAGCUCGCGGCCUAUCAGCUUGUUGGUGGGGUAAUGGCCUACCAAGGCGGCGACGGGUAGCCGGCCUGAGAGGGUGGACGGCCACAUUGGGACUGAGAUCCGGCCCAGACUCCUACGGGAGGCAGCAGUGGGGAAUAUUGCACAAUGGGCGGAAGCCUGAUGCAGCGACGCCGCGUGGGGGAUGACGGCCUUCGGGUGGUAAACUCCUUUCGACCGCGAGGAAGCCACCUGGUUGGAAGGGUGGUGACGGUAGUGGUAGAAGAAGCACCGGCUAACUACGUG
rnacentral:rRNA from 1 species